CAGGUAUCGCACGGCGUGGCUAAUCGCUAUCAACCACGUACUGAUCGUUAAUCCGGGGGCCCGUGGUAUCAGGGGCACUCAUCAGUGACACCAGGUCAUGCUCAUGUGUUUCAAAGGCAUGGGGGAGGGGUAGACGUCACCAGGGGUAUCAAGGACAGCCUGAAACUUCCGAGAAGCAAAGUCCUUGUGUCCGUCCAAGGCUGAGCUGUCCCUCUGGUCCUGGAGAUGAGCUGAUGCCCACUGUUUUGUUUCAGCCUGAAAAAAAAAGCACAAGCUCCAGCAAAAUUCCACUAUUCCUUACAUUUUGGUGUAUAGUGUCCAGUUCUGGGCCCCUCAGUUCAGGAAGGACAGGGAACUGCUGGAGAGAGUCCAGUGCAGAGCUACGAAGAUGAUUACAGGAGUGGAGCAUCUCCCUUAUGAGGAAAGGCUGAGGGAGCUGGGUCUCUUUAGCUUGGAGUAGAGGAGACUGAGGGGUGACCUCAUUAAUGUUUAUAAAUAUAUAAAGGGUGAGUGUCAUGAGGAUGGAGCCAGGCUCUUCUGGGUGACAACGAAUGAUAGGACAAGGGGCAAUGGGUUCAAACUGAAGCAUGAAAGGUUCCACUUAAAUAUGAGAAGAAACUUCUUCUCGGUGAGGGUAACAGAGCACUGGAACAGGCUGCCCAGGGAGGUUAUGGAGUCUUCUUCUCUGGAGACAUUCAAAACCCGCCUGAACGCUUUCCUGUGUAACCUCAUCUAGGUGUUCCUGCUCCAGCAGGGGGAUUGGACUGGAUGAUCUUUAGCGUUCCCUUCCAAUCCCUUACAUUCUGUGAUUCUGUGUAAUGUGAACUACUGUAUGUUAAGAAAGUUAAUGCACUUUCAUGCCAUAAAGACUGCUUGACAUAACAGCCAUGGAAGGGAAUUUCCCUGACAGUGUACAGCAGCUCUGUCCAGCUUUGUAUGCUAAAUGGCUCUGUGCAAGGUUUUGCAGCAGCUCCAGCAGCCCCAGCCCCCAUCCUGCCCUUUCCUGGGCACCUUCCUGGGCACCACGAUACAGGCAGGAGGGAGCCCUUGCAGAAGCACAGCAGUUAUGGAUGGAGGCUGAGCUCUUCUUACGCCAAGGUCAGAGCAGGAGGAUGACGUACAGCGACAUAAAGCCCUUGGAAGUCCAGUGUCCCUCGGUGGCCUGUGGUCCACAAUGCUCAACCCUCGACUCCAGCUCAGUGUGGAGGAGGGUCCGGGAUGCCCUCAGCUGCCUGCUGGGGCUGGCUCUCACUGCUCCUUCAACCAGGACACCUCCAAAUGGCAGGCGAUGUGCCAAUGGGAGGAAGAAGGCCACAGGAGGAUGAAGAUGUAGAAGAUGUAUCCUCCCCCUCUGCAGCAAGGCAGAGAGGGGAGGUGGAAGGGAGAGAGCAGGGGGUUUAAUGUAAGCUGACAUCACAUGGCUGCCGUGGCUUUUUUGAUCUUGACAAAGGCAGACGGUUCCGCUCGUUGCCAGCAUGAGACAAAUUACAGGUGAAGCAGAAGAGAUUACAGGAUAUUUCUGGUUGUUGUUGAGUUUGGUGGGGGGAAGGGAGGAUGAAUCCAGGGCAGACAUAUUCUAAAGAAGGGAGGCAGGCAGAUGCAGUAAAUAAUGAGAACCAGUUCCCGAGUUGGGGGAGCAUAGACAGCAAUUUGGACAACACUGCUUUUGGGCUGCUGAGUGUGUAGAAAUACUCUAAAAGCUGCAGCACCCACCUGAAAAGUGUUUCUCCUCUUUCAUCCCCCUGUUACUGCCCAUUGCCUGCAGAAAGACCUGGGUGGCUUCAGUGUCUGAUUAGGGACAAGCUCACUGUCCUCUCUGUUGUUCCGGGUUUCUGGUGACACCAGUGUCCAGAUGAGCUACCACCAAUCCCACAGUUAUUUUUCCUUGUCCCCAUCAGGUUUCCUGGCCGUCCCUUGCCAGACUUCCCUCCACAAGGCUGACCCCGCCGUCCCACAGGGACACAGAGAUUCGCCCCAGUCCCUCCUCUGUGUGCCUCACCCUCCCUGCACCCUUUUGCAGGAGGGGACACUCCCCCCAUAGCCCCCUUAUGAACAAAGGACCCUUGGGUGCAUGGCCCACCUGAGGGUGACUCGGAGGGGGCAAUAAUAGUGCGGAUGGUCCCUGCCUGAAAGUCCUGGCUUUGGCACAGCCAGUUUCCUUCUGGCAUGCAAAGCCAUUGCCUGACAGCCGGCGUGGUGAGCUACACCAGGCAGAUUCACUUUGCUUUCCUUCCUCUUUGAAAUGCCCGCAGGGCUGCUCUGUGGGGACGCAAAGCCUGCAGAGCAAGCUCAGCUCUGUGGGGAACCAGGGGGGAGAACAGGAAUCAUCAUCCUGCACCCUUGUUGGCUAUUUACCCAUCUGUUUAAAACAGAUCUAAUGUCCAAAGGUAGCAUUUACAUUUCAUGGUAGAGGAUGGCAUACGGAGGUGGAGACUUCAGACUGGCAACAUGCCUGCGGCUCUUGUCUAGAUCUGUAGAUCAGUAAGGAGAGGAAGGGAGAGGGAUGAGACAUGCUUGGUGUUGCAGGCUGGGGUGUAUUUUACAUAUCACUGCACGACUAUGCUAGGCUGUUUCACCUCUCUCUGCCCCACUUCCAGUUUGCAAAGCAGGAAUAUGAGUUGAUCUCUGUUUCUGAGCAGUGCAGGAGAGUUGAAGCGGGGGUAUUAGUGCACUGUCCCCCGGCACAGGCAGAGAGCAGGGCAUGAUACAGAAGGGGAGAGCUCCUGAUUUCACUCUCUGGGCUAUUGUACAUUGCUCUGGUGGCACAAACCAUUUCAAAAAUGAGUAGAGGUGUAAUGUGGCCCCUGUGAAGAUGCACUGGUGCUGCCAAUGAAGGCAAUUAGCAUCAGCAAGACUUGGCCUGGUGUGCUGAUCUGACUGAAAGCAAGUUAAUUUUGUUCAUACAGUUAGAAACUUUUCUUUUUCAUAGCUAACACAGUCAUUGUUUUGAUUUAGUUUGAGAAUAAUAAGAUAACAUGUUUUUCUUCAAGUAAUUUUCCAGUGUUUUUGACUUGUAAUGAAGAGAAUGUUAGAACUUACUGUUCUUAGUUGUUGUCUGGGAGACCAAGAUCUUUCUGGGCUCUCUAUCUACAGGUGUGAGGCAGCUUGGAAGAGGGGCAUGGAUGGGACAGACCUUGACUGACAUCCAGGCUGAUCAGUGAGAGUAUUCCAUGCCAUUAAUGUCAUGCCUUGUACGUAAUGGAGUUGAGUUUUCCAUCUCGGGAGACCUGUUCUGGUUCUGCUCUGUUCCAGUUGGGAUCUGUUUGUGAGUUCCUUUAGUUUGGCCUGUUGGCUGUUCUGUCAUUUUGCAGUGGCCUCUGAGUCUUUCUGCUUUUUUGGCUUUUGUCACUCUCUCUCUGGGAUCAGCUGUUUGGGACCAGGAUACUCUCUUCCCAGGACUGGCUGCUCAGCAUGGAUGAAGUUCAUGAGGAACUGCAUUUUCCCCAGACAGACAGAGGAGCAAUGGAGACAGGCUUUGGGGAUGGUCUCAGGAGCAAUGCUGACCCCAGCAUGGUCCCAGUUAUCUCAGCACCCACCCCCAGACCUUCUGGCAGUGAUGGGUUCAUCCCAACCCCGCUCAGCAUGAGUUCUGUGAGAUGUCACCUGGCCAGUUCUGGGCUGACCUCUUGCAGUGCUGCUCAGGAAGCAUGCAGAACACAAACUCAUGUAUUUGGUUUUGCUUGUUCUCUCACUAGUAGAUGAAAAUUAUAUCAUUUGCAGCAAGUGCAAAUUAUUAGGGAAACUAAUGACGUUUCCACAUAAGUUGCUGGCAACUUCAGCUUCCUUUGGCAAAGUCUCUCCCCAGCUAUCAUUAAACCCAAAGUAAAUCAGCUUUUUGCAUUCUGCUCUUUAAUUUAAUUAACCAUGUACAUUUCCUCAGCUUUAUGAUCAACUCAUCAAAGCUUCUCAAAGGUGUUUCCUCAUUUGAAGCUGCAGUAGCACCCAGAAGGCAGGUUACUCUGCUUUCCCACCAGAGUAUCCAACUGAUGUCCUGUCAUGCAUUCAGGGGACCUUCUGCAUCCUGCAGCCACUCCCUCACCUCCAGCAGCUCAGCAGGGAAGGAUUUCUGUGACUCUUGCUGGAGUUUUGUCCUCUUCUGUGGACCUUGCGGGAGGCUAGUCUCAUAAAGUCCACCUCCCAUGCCUUUACCUAGCUUGAGAGUGUAGUAUUUGGGGGACUAGUACUGCCUUAAAGAUGGGCAGGGACUUGUGUCUGAUCAUCUCAGGAGAUGCUGAGAAAAGCCUAAAGUACACCAAAGAACAGUGAGGAAACUUGUCAGGAAAAAUUGGAAUAAUUCUUAAUCAGGCUUGGGAUUAAGCCGAGCUCAGUAUGUCAUUCAUGCUGUGAUUUAUGGUCAUGUUACAAGCAGGAAGUGUUUGUCUGAGGUUGCACAAACAUCUCCUCUUUUUCCAGACAGUGCUUUUGUCUGAGAAGGGUUUUGUGACACCUGCUCUGUCUGGGUGUCCCUCUCUUGUCAAAUCUGACCCUGCGCUCUCCUUCAUUGCACAGGUGAAUUUCACAGAAUCACAGAAUGUUAGGGAUUGGAAGGGACCUCAAAAGAUCAUCUAGUCCAAUUGAGUCGGAGGCUCGGUGGUGGGGCAGGUAUCCUGGGGUGAACAGCUUUGGGGGGCUCAUGUGUGCACAGAUGCUCUGGGGCUUCCUCCAAGCCAGUGGAAGGGGCUGUGAGCGCCCCAGGCACUGGCCAGGAUGGUACCCACAUGCUUAUGCCUGAAAGAUGCUGAGUGGCAGACGGCGGCCUUAUUCAUAGUAAAAGCUGAACUGCAGCUGAGGCAUUUCCAUGUGGUUCGAGCUGUCUGAGACGCGUUGGUGCCUGGAGCCAUCUCAAUGCUGCAGCUCUUGUCGGAAGCCAAAGGAUGUGACAGCACCUGAGAGCCCUGUCACAGGCAGUAACACAGCUGCCACAGUGUCAGAGACCACCAUAGGGCAGGGAGGCUGAGAGCACAGCUCCAGCAGCACGGUGCCUGCUCCCCAUUUCCUGCUGCCCCCAAGGGCGCUUCAAACUCAGCCUGGGGGAUUUCCCCUUGAAGCAUGUUGAGCCAUGGCUUGCAGAGCCCACCUGUGUAUUGACAGCUGCAGAGAAAGGUGAUCGCUUCUGCUCGCUGUGCCCUCCCAGUGCUGGCAUGGCAGGGAAGGGAGGCAGGGGAAAAAAUGACCCCAUGUUACAAAACUGCUGCUGUUCUGGAGCUCUGGCUGCAGAAGUAGCAUGCAAGCAUGGAGCCUGAGCUUAAACCCAGGGAGAAGUUGCAGCCUGAUGGACACAUGCUGGCUCUGGUAUCCCCCACGGGCAACCUAGAGCAGAGAGCUGGGACAAAUGGUUGUCGAUGGGGGCAGAUCACACACAUUUCAGCACAAUGUCCUCCAGGAUGCCUGGCCCAGCAGGCCCUAAUAGGGUGGCACUGCUCUCUUGGAGAAAUUAUCUCCCACCUCAUGCCAGCCACCACUGAUCUUCCUCUCAUUUUCUCUGCAUACCUGGAAAGUGGUUUACCUUCUGCCAUCUCAAAAGUUCUGCAUCUUUGCCUGCCCUUAGGAUUUGCUCUGGGAACUAAAUAAAUGAUAUCCUUUCAACAUUAUUUUUUAAAAAAUCUCUUUCGUUUUUGGUUUGUCCAAAUCACAUGUUUCUCUGCCAGUAUGGUCAAAACCAUGAGGCUUGUGUUUUCCUCCCACUGCAGUGGGAUUAGUGAAGCAGUUACUGGACUGAUGGUCAAGAUGGGUAUCACAGCUGAACUUCAGCGAAGUUAAAAUUAAGGUGCAAUUGCAUGCUCCCCUCUGGAGGCACAUGGCCAUCAUGUGGAGUGCCCACCUUGCUCUAGCAAACCAAGAAGCAGCUAGCUAACUCUAAUGGAUCUUGUUCU